CUUUUGAGACGGGUUUCACUAUAUUGCCCAGGCUAGUCUUGAACUCCUGGUCACCAAUGAUCCACCCACCUCAGCCUCCCAAAGUGCGGGGAUGACAGGCAUGAGUCACUGCACCUGGCCCACAUCAGGUCUCUCUGAGCUGUCUUGUCCCUGGCCACAGAGGAGCCUCACCUGCUUGGUGAAGACAAUGCGCCCAUCCAGAAAGGGAGGCACCAGAUUGUGCACCAUCAGAUGCACCUUGGCUGCAUUGUCCUCUUCAAAAUCCUCGUCCACCUCCAGCCGAUGGACCACCCCACUGGUGAGCAUGCGGUUUGUCUCCCAGCGCUCGUUAUCCUGUGAGGACACAAUGGGAACCAUACUCAAAUUUCCACCCCAAAGGUCGUCCUGAAAGGUUACGAGGUAUCGACACAUCAAGUCCUGACAGAAGGCCACUGGUGGCUGCAAAGAUGUCACAGGCCUCUACCCACAGCUCCAAAGACAGAAGAGGAACUGAUCCCAAAUCACCUGCAGGACUUUGUUCUAAGAAGCAGCACCUUUCAUCUAAAUCAGAACCUCUAGAUGGACACAUGAAUGGUAAGCACCCCUAGCCCACAUCAGAGACACAAAGAACACAGACCACAGAGGCAGGUCCCAAUGCACCUGCUCCCAUCAACAGUACCUCCCCUCAAGGAAGUACUGCAAAAGAGAGAAGUAUGAGCCAGGGCUGCCCUUAAGCUACUAAAAGGUUCAUCACCCACUCCUCUUCCACCUCCAGAGGAUCUGGUCCUCUCGGCAAUCAGGGCACAAGCUGUGCUGCCCUCACUUGGGCAUAACCUGCUGCUUCCCCACGUGCUCUACCGCCAGCUCUGAAUCUGCUCCAACUUCUGCAGGCUGCCUCACCUCAUUGAUCUGUCUCCGCUGAGCUGAAAUGCGCUUCUGCUUCUGUUUAUGCAGGUGCUGCUCCCGCCUCCUCACAUAGUCCUCAGAGGAGUAGGCCAGUGGGUUGUGGAACUCAUCAUAGCCCUCGUCCAUCAUGUACCAAUCCCGAUCGGCUUGCUGCAGGGCAGGAGGUGAAGCAAGGGAGUGAGGGACAGAUCAAGUUUAUGCACGAGACAUGGCCAACAGAGGAGGGGACGUGUGGUAGGAAGUCACUACUGCAGUGGAGCUACCCUUGUGAGGGGUGCUGGAGAGGCCACCCUGCAGCCACGUGCUGUCUGGAGGAGAACCACAGUGGGAGACUACACAGGACUGGAGGGCAGCCCAUCACAACAGCACUUCUUAGAGUUACCACAUGGUGGCACCAACACAUAACAGAAAAGUUAGGUCAGCCUACUGCAGUGAGUGACAGGGUUCACCCUGCCGCCUAUGCCUCUGCAAAGAGACUCCAGGGCAUCGGGGCUGAACAGGGCUCAGGUGCACCCUCAUCAAAGCCCAGUCCUGCUAGAGGGUCACCCAUUUACAGACGGCCACCAGCCUUGAUCAGCCCCUCAGAGGUAUAAAGUUUUACCCUCUGGUCAUCCUCCCACUGCUGCCGCUCCUCCUCCGUGUCAAAUGAAAUUCCUUCUUCGCCUUCCUCGCGUCUUCCUGGAGGAGCACAGGGAGCAGGUCAGUCCACGCCCUGGCCUAUCCCCAGAGGCCCCGGACAGAUCUGCAGGGCCACGCAGCUCCAGAAGGGCAGCCCCUGCUCAUCCUCGCUAGGGCGAGCAAGCCUGCUCUUCUGCCUCCUGCCCCCCAGGCCUCACCUCGACCUCUGGACAGACGUGGGGUGGACCCCAAGUGUCUUCUGUCAUCGGCCCACUCAUUGUAUUUGUAGGAGGGAGUUGGCAGAGGCGUGUCAUCCGAGUACUUGCCCCUCACAGACCUGGGAACAGCAGCACCAGCAUCACAAAACUGUCACUGAGCUAAGCCACGUCCUACUGGCCGCCAUCUGCUCUCCCUGCCGAGGCUCCUUACCGCCACCCAGCGAAACUGGGCUGCUCUGCCCGGAACAUCACCUGUCUCGAUCUCGAGUGGACAGCCGAUGGCUCCGCUCAGAAUCCCGAUAUGAAGGCGUCGGGGAGGGCGAUUCCCACUGGGAGCGCCUUGAGGAGCCAUAGCCACUGUCCUCUUCCUCCCAGGUAGACCUCGAAGGGGUGGCUGCAUCUGGGUUCACAGAAGACACAUCCACAGGAAACAUCUCACUUAACCACGACAUGGCUCUAGAACCAGUUGCCAAAAGAACCAUAUCCACCCCAAGUGCAGAGCCGUGCCCACCUGACUCAGAACCAACUAUCCCAAGAUGUUCAUGGUGGAAUCGGGAAUUCUGACUCAAUGCCUCAGCAAUCUCCCUGAAGACAAGAGUCACUCACUCUGCGUUUUAUACACUGGAAUCCUCACAAGCCACCAAAACAGUGAGUCUACCUUUAGGUCGAUGUCGUGGGCUCUCAGGCUCAUUUCUUCUGCUGCUACGCUCUGACCCUCCAUCUCGCUCCGAUCUGCUGCUGUGCCUACUUCUAUCCCGGUCAUCUAUGAAGAGUCACACAAAGCUUAAAAACAUGCACCCCAUCCUAAGGUACACCCAUCUUCACCCUAGAGAAAGGACAUAGGCUGCCCACUCACUCACAGGUGCAACCUGCACUGCUCGAAUGUGAUCCGUAGACUCCUGAAACUCACCUAUGCCCAUUCUCCCAAGGGGGAAAAAUAGUUACUGCCUAGAAAGUUUCACACCCACAGUAACAGUUAUUUUCUAGCAAAAAUUCAAAAAAUAAUAGUACAAGUUUACAGUAAAUCUUUUUUUUUAAUAGUUAUAAUUCUAUCAGCUAUAAAACUUAAUACUGAGCAAAGACAGCAUUGGAUUUUUUUUGUCUAGCUUUGUUCCAUAGCACUGUCCUUUCUCUAUCACCAAUACUAUUAGAAACGCUGGUCUCUUGUACAUAUUUACCCAUUAUCUCCUUUAUCAUAAUAAAACAAAGACCACACACUCAA